AGAGUUUGAUCCUGGCUCAGAUUGAACGCUGGCGGCAGGCUUAACACAUGCAAGUCGAACGGUAACAGGAGAAAGCUUGCUUUCUUGCUGACGAGUGGCGGACGGGUGAGUAAUGCUUGGGAAUCUGGCUUAUGGAGGGGGAUAACUACGGGAAACUGUAGCUAAUACCGCGUAAUAUCUUCGGAUUAAAGGGUGGGACUUUCGGGCCACCUGCCAUAAGAUGAGCCCAAGUGGGAUUAGGUAGUUGGUGGGGUAAAGGCCUACCAAGCCGACGAUCUCUAGCUGGUCUGAGAGGAUGACCAGCCACACUGGAACUGAGACACGGUCCAGACUCCUACGGGAGGCAGCAGUGGGGAAUAUUGCACAAUGGGGGGAACCCUGAUGCAGCCAUGCCGCGUGAAUGAAGAAGGCCUUCGGGUUGUAAAGUUCUUUCGGUGAUGAGGAAGGUGUUUGUUUUAAUAGAACAAGCAAUUGACGUUAGUCACAGAAGAAGCACCGGCUAACUCCGUGCCAGCAGCCGCGGUCAAUACGGAGGGUGCGAGCGUUAAUCGGAAUGACUGGGCGUAAAGGGCACGCAGGCGGUGACUUAAGUGAGAUGUGAAAGCCCCGAGCUUAACUUGGGAAUUGCAUUUCAUACUGGGUCGCUAGAGUAUUUUAGGGAGGGGUAGAAUUCCACGUGUAGCGGUGAAAUGCGUAGGGAUGUGGAGGAAUACCGAAGGCGAAGGCAGCCCCUUGGGAAUAUACUGACGCUCAUGUGCGAAAGCGUGGGGAGCAAACAGGAUUAGAUACCCUGGUAGUCCACGCUGUAAACGCUGUCGAUUUGGGGAUUGGGCUUAGAGCUUGGUGCCCGUAGCUAACGUGAUAAA
rnacentral:rRNA from 1 species